AGGGCGGGCGGGGGGCGCGGGCGGUGGUGGUGCGGGUGGUGACUGUCUAGGUCCGCCAUUUUGAAGGAUGAGCGAAGAAAGAGUAAAUGGAAAACGAUGUCGUGCACUCUAGGGGCGAGCGAUCCGCCAGCUGCGGUGUGCCGCGCGUUUCCUUAACGUGAAGUGGGUAUAAGGGGCUCUGAGACUUGACGAAGAAACUGAAAAAGAAGGUGGAGUUGAUGACCAAGGCUCCCUCAAAGAUGCCAGAAUCCCCAGAAAACAGGAAGCAGUCUACCAAAAGCAAUGCCACCAGCCAGUAGGAGUUCUGCUGAAGCUCAGACAAGCGAGAUACUACACCAAACCCUGGGCUGUGUGCAGUUACCAAGUACCCUACCAUUGCGAUACACCUCUGCCAUCUAUUAGCCGACUCCUCACUGACAUCUACAAUUAAACACUUCCUCCUUUGAGGCUGACCCACUGUCUUCCAUCACCUUCCUGCUUUUUCCUUUCUGCUGCCAUCCAGUUGGUUCCAUGU
rnacentral:lncRNA from 1 species